GUUUAAGUAAAGUUGGGAACUUUCGUGAUUAUGAGCAAAGUGUGAGUACCGUAUAUAACCGUAGAUAAGCCGAAUUUUGAGGGGGAAAAAAGCAGUCUCUAGAAGGGGAUCGGCUUAUCUAUGAGAUAUAAUUUCUUGAAAGUAUUUUUCAGGUCGUCAGUGCCCUGUCAGGACGAUCUUACAGGUUAGUGGUACAGCAGUGGAAGUUUACGACGAUUACAGCCACUUUCUUAUACAUGAUAAAUAAAAUACAUAUUAAAGUAUACAUUUUGUUGUUAUUUCAAAAUAUUUUGCCCUUAGACAUUAUUAAGUUUUGUACCUACCUAUUUACACACAAUCAAUCCACAAACAAGAAGUUAUAAUCCUGUCCGGUCGCCAUUUGCAAAAUACAUAUUAAAGUAUACAUUUUGUUGUU